UGACAAGGAGGAAGUUGAAGAACAAUCUCAAGAAGAUGAACUUAACAUUAACCAAGAAUUAAUUAUAUGGAAAAAUAAAGCAAAGAUCCUCCAGGAUCGAGUGGAACAACUUGAGAAUGAUAAAAAGUUUCUCGAGCAGCAACUGGCUGAGAUAACUAUUGAAACUGAGGCAGGUAACAUCAAAGAUGUGGUCACCAGAUACCAGCGACUGCUAAACUUGACAAAGAAGGGGUACACUAUGUCUAUGGC